UGGUGGAGUGAUUUGUCUGGUUAAUUCCGUUAACGAACGAGACCUCCGCGUGCUAAAUAGUUCUGUCUACAAUUUGUAGAUAAGGACUUCUUAGAGGGACUUUUGGUGAAUAACCAAAGGAAGUUGGAGGCAAUAACA
rnacentral:rRNA from 1 species